AGUGAACGCUGGCGGCAGGCCUAACACAUGCAAGUCGAGCGGUAAGGCCCUUUCGGGGUACGACGAGCGGCGAACGGGUGAGUAACACGUGGGUGACCUGCCCUCAGCUCUGGGAUAAGCCUGGGAAACCGGGUCUAAUACCGGAUAUGACUCCAUGACGCAUGUUGUGGGGUGGAAAGCCUUGUGCGGCUGAGGAUGGGCCCGCGGCCUAUCAGCUUGUUGGUGGGGUGAGGCCUACCAAGGCGACGACGGGUAGCCGGCCUGAGAGGGCGACCGGCCACACUGGGACUGAGACACGGCCCAGACUCCUACGGGAGGCAGC
rnacentral:rRNA from 1 species